AGUACAGAUGAUGUUUGUUAAAGCGAUCAAAGCCUGAAUGCCUGUGAUUGUACUUCAUGUGACACUGAUGUACU